rnacentral:sRNA from 1 species
CCCAGUGUUGAAACACUGGGCUAUUAUCUGCUGUCCCUCCGGGACG